CUGCUCGCUUCAGCAGCACAUAUACUAAAAUUGGAACAAUACAGAGAAGAUUGGCAUGGCCCCUGCACAAGGAUGACAUGCAAAUUUGUGAAGCAUUCCAUAUUUAA
rnacentral:snRNA from 1 species